AGAGUUUGAUCCUGGCUCAGGAUGAACGCUAGCUACAGGCUUAACACAUGCAAGUCGAGGGGAAACGAUAUUGGAAGCUUGCUUCCGAUAGGCGUCGACCGGCGCACGGGUGAGUAACGCGUAUCCAACCUGCCCACCACUUGGGGAUAACCUUGCGAAAGUAAGACUAAAUACCCAAUGAUAAUCUCUAGAAGACAUCUGAAAGAGAUAAAGAUUAUCGGUGAUGGAUGGGGAUGCGUCUGAUUAGCUUGUUGGCGGGGUAACGGCCACAAGGCGACGAUCAGUAGGGGUUCUGAGAGGAAGGUCCCCACAUGGAACUGAGACACGGUCCAAAACUCCUACGGGAGGCA
rnacentral:rRNA from 1 species